rnacentral:rRNA from 1 species
GACGAACGCUGGCGGCGUGCUUAACACAUGCAAGUCGAACGGAAAGGCCCUGCUUUUGUGGGGUGCUCGAGUGGCGAACGGGUGAGUAACACGUGAGUAACCUGCCCUUGACUUUGGGAUAACUUCAGGAAACUGGGGCUAAUACCGGAUAGGAGCUCCUGCUGCAUGGUGGGGGUUGGAAAGUUUCGGCGGUUGGGGAUGGACUCGCGGCUUAUCAGCUUGUUGGUGGGGUAGUGGCUUACCAAGGCUUUGCCGGGUAGCCGGCCGGAGAGGGUGACCGGCCAGAUUGGGACUGAGAUACGGCCCAGACUCCUACGGGAGGCAGCAGUGAGGAAUAUUGCACGAUGGGCGGAAGCCUGAUGCAGCAACGCCGCGUGCGGGAUGACGGCCGGCGGGUUGUAAGCCGCUUUCGCCUGUGACGAAGCGUGAGUGACGGUAAUGGGUAAAGAAGCACCGGCUAACUACGUG